rnacentral:rRNA from 1 species
UAACGGCUGGAAACGGUCGCUAAUACCAAAUACGCUCCGAUUUCAAACUUCGGGGGAAAGGUGGCCGUCUGCUUGCAAGCUACUGCUCGAUGGGAUGAGUCCGCGUCCCAUUAGCUAGUUGGUGGGGUAACGGCCCACCAAGGCGACGAUGGGUAGCCGGUCUGAGAGGAUGACCGGCCACACUGGGACUGGAACACGGCCCAGACUCCUACGGGAGGCAGGCAGUGGGGAAUAUUGCGCAAUGGGCGAAAGCCUGACGCAGCGACGCCGCGUGAGGGAUGAAGGUCCUCGGAUCGUAAACCUCUGUCAGGAGGGAAGAACCGCCACGGUGCUAAUCAGCCGCGGUCUGACGGUACCUCCAAAGGAAGCACCGGCUAACUCCGUGCCAGCCGCUGC